rnacentral:rRNA from 1 species
UGGGGAAUAUUGCACAAUGGGCGCAAGCCUGAUGCAGCCAUGCCGCGUGUAUGAAGAAGGCCUUCGGGUUGUAAAGUACUUUCAGCGGGGAGGAAGGGAGUAAAGUUAAUACCUUUGCUCAUUGACGUUACCCGCAGAAGAAGCACCGGCUAACUCCGUGCCAGCAGCCGCGGUAAUACGGAGGGUGCAAGCGUUAAUCGGAAUUACUGGGCGUAAAGCGCACGCAGGCGGUUUGUUAAGUCAGAUGUGAAAUCCCCGGGCUCAACCUGGGAUCUGCAUCUGAUACUGGCAAGCUUGAGUCUCGGAGAGGGGGGUAGAAUUCCAGGUGUAGCGGUGAAAUGCGUAGAGAUCUGGAGGAAUACCGAUGGCGAAGGCGACCCCCUGGACGAAGACUGACGCUCAGGUGCGAAAGCGUGGGGAGCAAACAGG